AACGAACGCUGGCGGCAUGCCUAACACAUGCAAGUCGAACGAGAUCUUCGGAUCUAGUGGCGCACGGGUGCGUAACGCGUGGGAAUCUGCCCCUUGCUUCGGAAUAACAGUGAGAAAUUACUGCUAAUACCGGAUGAUGUCUUCGGACCAAAGAUUUAUCGGCAAGGGAUGAGCCCGCGUAGGAUUAGGUAGUUGGUGGGGUAAUGGCCUACCAAGCCGACGAUCCUUAGCUGGUCUGAGAGGAUGAUCAGCCACACUGGGACUGAGACACGGCCCAGACUCCUACGGGAGGCAGCAGUGGGGAAUAUUGGACAAUGGGCGAAAGCAUGAUCCAGCAAUGCCGCGUGAGUGAUGAAGGCCUUAGGGUUGUAAAGCUCUUUUACCAGGGAUGAUAAUGACAGUACCUGGAGAAUAAGCUCCGGCUAACUCCGUG
rnacentral:rRNA from 1 species